GUUUUUAAAUUUUAUAUUUGUUUCAAAAAGUGUUUAAAAAAAAGACGUGGGUACUUUUCAUCCAAGGAAAACCGUUUUGAAAAUACAAUUCAGUUCCCCCCAAAUGAAAAAGAAGGUUCACACUUGGGUAGAUUAUUUUUGUCGUUUUAGGACCGAACCCCGAGGGGAACUCUCCCAAAAACAAACAAAAAAAAAUAAAAUUGGUAAUGAUCCAACCGCAGGUUCACCUACGGUUA
rnacentral:misc_RNA from 1 species